rnacentral:rRNA from 1 species
GACGAACGCUGGCGGCGUGCUUAACACAUGCAAGUCGAACGAGUGGCGAACGGGUGAGUAACACGUGGGUGACCUGCCCUGCACUUCGGGAUAAGCCUGGGAAACUGGGUCUAAUACCGGAUAGUGUGGGAUGGGCCCGCGGCCUAUCAGCUUGUUGGUGGGGUAAUGGCUACCAAGGCGCGACGGGUAGCCGGCCUGAGAGGGGGGACGGCCACAUUGGGACUGAGACCCGGCCCAGACUCCUACGUGAGGCAGCAGUGGGGAAUAUUGCACCAUGGGCGGAAGCCUGUUGCAGCGACGCCGCGUUGGGGAUGACGGCCUUCGGGUUGUAAAGUACUUUCAGCGGGGAGGCGUUACCCGCAGAAGAAGCACCGGCUAACUCCGUGCCAGCCGCCGCGGUAAUUC